CACCCUACUAUAUUGUUCGCCAGAGUACUACAAGCGCUAGCUUAAAACCCAAAGGACUUGGCGGUAUCCCAUACCCACCUAGAGGAGCCUGUUCUAUAACCGAUAAUCCCCGUUCAACCUCACCACUUCUUGCCAUUACCGUCUAUAUACCGCCGUCGUCAGCCCACCCUGUGAAGGACCAAAAGUAAGCAAAAAGAAUAAAACUCCAAAACGUCAGGUCGAGGUGUAGCAAAUGAAGUGGGAAGAAAUGGGCUACAUUUUUUUCCAAAAAUAUACGAAUGGUAAACUGAAAACACACCUAAAGGUGGAUUUAGCAGUAAGAGGAGAUCAGAGUACUCCUCUGAAACUGGCUCUGGGAUAAGCACACACCGCCCGUCACUCUCCUCAAAAACAACUCACCAUUUUCCAUAAAUACAUUUCUUCAACAAGAGGAGGCAAGUCGUAACAUGGUAAGUGUACUGGAAAGUGCACUUGGAAUC
rnacentral:rRNA from 1 species